ACACCAGGAUGUCAAAUGUUAAAAUCACUUUUCAUCACAGUUCAAACUGAAACAAAGCAGGAAGAGGCAAAAACUGCUCAGAGAGGGAGAUCAACUAGCGUAGGUGCUUCAAGAUACCCCUGUUUUUCUGGCAUUUUAGAAAUCUUCUAAAGGGAUUUUUCUCAGAGUUUGAAAACAAUACUGUGUUUCCAAGAAUGCUAGGAAAUUUACUUUAAAAAACACUCAGAAAUGUUUUAAAAGAUUCCUAACAAUCACAUUCUGUAUAUAUCGUCAAAUCUGAUUUUACUAGACUCUGACAUUUUGGUUACAUUAAGGAAUCAUCCACAAUAAAAAUAUACCAUAGAUAAUGGAUUCAUAACCACAUGGUUUCCAUUUGUUAGUGUUAGUGUACGGAACAAGUGCAGAACAGAUAAGGAAAAUAUACAUCUGUGAGGGGGGAAUUCUUUUCAUGAUGCCUGUCACAUUCUGAAAUGGAAUGCAGUUAAUUUCUCUCCUUCCUCAGCUCGGUAAGUUUAUUUUCUUAGAAUCUAUUCUCUGAGUUAGAACUAGCUCUGAUUAAGUGCUAUAUUGGAAGCAGCUCAGUGUAGAGCCAUGGCUAAAAUAGUUGGAAAUUAUAUCCAUAGAAAAUUCAAAUCUGAGAAUUAAAAGCAACAACAACUGUAAAGUACUAUGGAUCACUGAGAAAGUGUGUAUUCAUUUUUGUCUAAUGAUGAAAUGAUCCAGCUGCAGGAAGAGUCCACAGAGGACAUGCCCGGGCAAAGGCCUUUCAUUUUACAAUUCACAUGGAAAGAAAUGUGAUGAGACCCUGAAAGACAGCUCUGGUUUCAUCUGGACCACAAUUUAGUUAAUGCUAUAUUACAUUGCACUUUGUAGUGAAAUGCAAAAAUAAAAGGCACAUUUUGUUGGGCUUUAAAAACAAUUUUUACACGGACAUUCAUCGGAAGGUUUCAAAACUUUGAUGAUUUAAAUGCUUUUCUUUUGAGCUAUAAUAGAAAUCUGAUAGUACAAUUAACCCAGAUUUGUGCUGGCUUGCUUCAUCCCAUCAAACAAUCAUAGGGAUUAUUUACAUUUCGAGUGGGAACAUAAAUAUCUUAAGAAAUAGACAAAACAAUAUGCCCCUUUUUAUUGUGAAGUCUAACUCACCUUCAUAAAAGUCAACGUAUUGAAAUAUCAAUCAAUCCAGCAAUUGCUUUUUGUUAUGUGCCGCAGUAUGGAUCCUCAGGGACUCCAGACCGUGUGAGCAACUAACAGGAAACAACACCAGAUGUGCUGUAUCAGCCAUUGAUUUUCAUCCCUGAUGAAUUCAGGUAAAAUUGCAUCACUGAAAUCACUCAAACUACUCUGAAGCCAUUUUUAAAAGGCAGCUCUGUUCAGGUUUGUUGGUUUUAAGUAUCAACUUAUGUGCACAUGCACAGAGGUCCAAAAGGUUAAGCAUCUUACGGCUUCUAGGAACUUCAUAACAUCAUCCAGCUUCUCAAGGAAUGGUUUUCCUA
rnacentral:lncRNA from 10 species